rnacentral:rRNA from 1 species
GAUGAACGCUGGCGGCGUGCCUAACACAUGCAAGUCGAGCGCGAAAGGGGUAACCCGAGUAGAGCGGCGCACGGGUGCGUAACACGUGGGUAAUCUGCCUCGAGGAGCCGGAUAACCAUCCGAAAGGAUGGCUAAUACGGCAUAAGCCCCCGGAGUCUUCGGACUCUGAGGGAAAAGGGUGGCCACUGUUUACAAGCUACCGCCUUGAGACGAGCCCGCGGCCCAUCAGCUAGUUGGCGGGGUAAUGGCCCACCAAGGCAACGACGGGUAGCUGGUCUGAGAGGACGAUCAGCCACACUGGAACUGGGACACGGCCCAGACUCCUACGGGAGGCAGCAGUGGGGAAUUUUGGACAAUGGGCGCAAGGCUGAUCCAGCCAUGCCGCGUGUCUGAAGAAAGCCUUCGGGUUGUAAAGGACUUUUGUCCGGGAGCAAAUGCUGGUGGCUAUCAUCCACCGGAGCUGAGAGUACCGGAAGAAUAAGCACCGGCUAACUACGUGCCAGCCGCCGCGGUAACAC